rnacentral:rRNA from 1 species
GACGAACGCUGGCGGCGUGCUUAACACAUGCAAGUCGAGCGGUAAGGCCCUUUCGGGGGUACACGAGCGGCGAACGGGUGAGUAACACGUGGGUGACCUGCCCUCAGCUCUGGGAUAAGCCUGGGAAACCGGGUCUAAUAACCGGAUAUGACUCCAUGACGCAUGUUGUGGGGUGGAAAGCCUUGUGCGGCUGAGGAUGGGCCCGCGGCCUAAUCAGCUUGUUGGUGGGGUGAUGGCCUACCAAGGCGACGACGGGUAGCCGGCCUGAGA